GUCCAAGAGCUCCAGGGCUCUCAACAGAUUGUCUCCGCAAUUAAGACCUAUGUACUGCGUGCAAUAAAAGUAUAUGUGAAUCCAUUUCCUCAAGCUCUACAUAACAAGCAUCUUGCAAAAAUAAAAUGAAGUAAUACAUAAAUAUGUUUUGAGUGAAUGUACAUCACCCAUGAUACACAGGUUAACUGAGGCUUUAGAUCACAUAAACUAUUGUUAUAUUCUUCUGUUCUUUUGUUUGUCUGGGAUGGCGUAGGAUCUUUUGUAUGAACAAGUGCUUGAGCUACUUAAUGAGCUGACCUUUUUGUAACAAUAAUACAAAAGCUGAGCACCAUCCUUAUAUCCUCAGCCAUUUCUAUCAAAAGACCAGUGAACUUACUCAGAAUUAUCAUAGGUAAACUUGUGAGGAGGCUUCUAUGAACAGUCUUUCCUAACACAUUUCUGUUUCUUCUAUCUAUUAUCUCUACAUAUAAUUCACAUGACUAGAAUACCAUUAGUUUGGCUGAGGUUUUUCUACCUUCAGACAGCCUUGUGGCCAUUGUUCAAUGAAGGGAAGCCAGCCUAAUAGUGACAGUAGUAAUAUAUUAGAAAAGGAAGCCCCAGCCCUUUUUUUCCUCCGCACAGAGAUAUCAAUCUAGCAAUGUAUGUAUAAGUACUUUGGCAAAAAAAAAAAAAAGAAGAAAACUCAGAAACCAGUUAGGAGGUUUCCAAAAAAAGACAAAAACAUCUGGACUGCUAGGAAAUUCUGUACAUCCUCUGAUCAGAGCCCUUUCAGAUAGUUCAACUUAUUUGCACUGCUAUGACAGAAUACUAGAUCAUAUAAUCCUUAAGCCAUAGAAGUUUACUUCCUUUUCAUUUCUCACUGUUCUGGCAGUAGUGAAAAGACGGUUGGAGAUUCAGCAUCUAAUGGAGGCCCACUCUUCAUUAGUUGUUCCAUCUGGGUGUCUCAUUUGUCAGAGGCAGUCUGACAGCCCUGAUGAACCUUUACUAUGGUACUGCUCUAUUGCAAAAGAGUGGGCUGUCAUAAUUUAGUCACUUCUCGAGAACCCCACUUCUUAAUAUUAUUGUCUUUGUGGUUACAUCAAUGUGAUUUUUAGAGGGAACAUCAAUUCCUGAGGAAACUCUCAGCUACUUGGUUCUCUCUGGCAAGGGAAAAGAAGAAUGACUCAUAUAUCUGGUGUCCUGACUUCCAGGUGGAGCUACCUAAAGACUACCUCUUUUGUUGUUUCUUUUGGAGCAUUGAAGGAUUUUGCAUGCCUUAUGUGCAUAGGGGCCAUGAGAACCAAGAUACCUGUGGGAUAGCUGACAUGGGACAGUAGAUCUUGGUGGCCUCUAGGAAAGAGAAGAGUAGAACACACAUCCAACAUUCCAGCUUUUGGGAGGACCAGCUAGUUGGUUUCUAGCCUGACUUGGGAAAGUGAUGGGAUCAAAAAUACUGUAGAUGCCUAGGGACUACUGAGAGGAAAAGGGGGAGGGGCCUGGUUGUCUUCUGCUGCUUUAAAAGACCUGAGUUACAGUCAAGAGCCAAUGGGGAGAGGAAGAAAUAAACAGCUCCUUAGCAAAAAGAAACCAGCCAAUCCCUCCGAUCCUAAAGUUUAAUGACAUAACACAGAAAAAAAAAAAAUCAAUAGGUCCCAGAAUCCCUUACUGGGCUGAUUGGUAAAAGUCUCUUCUUAUACAAACCAGUCUGAAAAGACCGGAAGAGGCAGCUGUUAUUUUCAGAUGUGUUAAUGCCAACACAAAGUUACAAGGAAGAUGAAGAAACAGAUCUAGCAUGAUCAAAAGAACAAACUAAAUCUCUAGAAACAAACUCUUACAGUAAUAAUAAUAUAAAUAAAAUGGAAAUAUAUAAAUUACCAAAAAUAGUUCAAAGUAUCACAGAGAUAUUCAGCAAUCUUGGGAAAUGGAAAUGAGAAUUUCAACAAAG
rnacentral:lncRNA from 1 species